ensembl:lncRNA
UUUUUUUUUUUUUGUACUGUCUUUUGAAUGGAUAAUCUAAAUGUUAAAAGCAUUCUAAGAAGUUAAAUACUGGGGGAAAAAUUAAAAAGGGAGAAGUAGGGAUUCUUUUUUAAGACUGGAUGUUUGCCUUUAGGGGAUGGUCUAGAGGGGAUGGGGCAGUGGUUCUGGUGCCUGACACCCAUCUUGGUUGUACACUAUCUAUCUGGGGAUAAUGGAGGGAGCAAACAAACAGUUGGGGAUGUGCCUCAAUGUGUAAUUGAAAAACAGAAACUCUGGAACUUAAUACUACCAGUCUCAACUGUUUGGGGCCUUGAUGUGAGAGGCUUGGGUUUUUUAUAAAUUUCUUGCAGUUUCACAGCUGUGAAAUGUUGCUAUCCUUUUGCUGGGAUUAUUUAAAUAUUUAUCUUUUCUUGCUACUUGACCUUUCCUGCUUGGUUUUAGUUCCUGUGGCCAGCUUGCUUUGUGUUUCAUGAGCUCAGUAAACCGUGGCCUUCAAUUCCCUUGUUCUAGUAUUUUCACUUAAGACCAGGAGUGAUGAGCAAAAGGUUUCAGGCUCAAUCCUUGAGCAAAGGGCCGCUGUGACAGGGAUUAUUAUUUAUUUGUCAUCUUGGAUGUAAUAAGCUGUAGGUACAGCAUCGAGAGCCCUUGAUUUAUUGCGCUGUCGACUGCCACUAGCAGGACGUCUGCUGUACCAUGCAGGAUGAAUACCACACUGUCAGCUCUGUCGAUCUGUCUCUGCCAUUGCGCUCUCUCUCAUAACACAUUCCCAUUUCAUGCCAGAAUACAUAAACAAUCUUUCAUUAUUUUGAUGCCUUUUUCAUAUUUGUUCUUUACAGAACAUAAAGUUUGAAUUUAUGGGUUUCCUUUACAUUAUUUCAACACACUCCACCAUUUUCCGGGUUUGUGGUUUAACUCUCAGAAAUUGGCUGCCAGGUGAUUUAGUUAUUUUGGCUUUCUAGUUUUAUAGUUAUUUAAUAUCGCAGUGCCAGAUACUGAGAAAACGUAGUGUAUAGCAGGUAUGGGAUUUGCAGUCAGACUCUGUCAUCAGCAAAACAUGGCCAUGGGGACACAAUGUGGAAAUUAAAACCUAGGCAUGCAGAGCAGGAAAUACUCCCUCCAACCUUCAUUUUUAAUUUAUUUAAAUACUUUUCCAAAAUAUUUUUCCUUAGAUGCUGUUACAAAUGUAAUGGAAAGCUGUUUAAUUGGAAAAGAACAUGUGAAUACUGAGCAAGCCAUUUCCCUUAAAUAAUUGCAAUUAAGGGAAUUUCUGACUUGUUGGCAGAAACAUUGCUCUGAUUUUUCUCCUUUACUUUAUUGUAGGAGGGGAAAGGGGAGGAAAUAAUGUCCAGAAAUUGGUGAGAUUUCUACUAUGCAUUCUUUAUACUUUAGUGAUCCACAUCUGUUUAUAUCCUUUAAUUUUGUUUACCUAAUGGUUUUUUUCCCUUUAAUACUCUGAAGCAUAUUAUUCAUCGAACUCUAAGGAACUGAAAGUCAUUGCUUGAAUGAGUGAACUUAAAUGUCACUAUAAAUACGGCAAGUCAAAUACGAAUAUAUGUCAAAAUAGUUAAAAAUGUGUUAUAAAAAAGGCUUAUGAGUAGUAUUAAAAAAAUUAUUGCAAACUGUGCAGAGCAUGAACCAGAAAAUGUAGCGUUCCUGCCAAUGUAACAUGCAUAUAUAACUGUGGUUGUGUGAGCAGCCUCUCACUUUAUGGGUGCAGCAGUGGCCAGUGAAGCCCUUAGGAAGGGUGUGAGGAGGAAGAAGGGGCCGUGUCACCUGUUCUGUGCACAGUGUGCAGGAGGAGGGGUCUGCUGCCAACUGGGCCUUCAGAUGCUGCAAAUGACUGACGGUGGUCAGUAAUGUUCCUUCAAGUUACUCGUGUAUGCAAACAUUUUCAAGGUAGUGAGGCAUAAUUAUUUUGUGAUAUUACCCUGUGUUUUCUCAUCAAGAUGUAUUAAGGUCUGAUAAAGACUUGUUCAUUGCUGUGUUUAUGUGCAAAGGUUGCCAAGUAUUUGUGCUCAAGAGGCAGGUGAAUAAUCACUCCUAAAUUUUCUUCCAUUCAAUAGAGUAGGGCUGCUUUUCCAUCUUCUGUAAAAACAUCUGAGUGUUUUUCACAGUCAGUUUUAUUUUUUUUCCCCUAAAAGGGGAGAGAAGGCAUGCCUUUGCCACUGAAACUAUAUCUGGUAAAAAGAAGGUUGUUUUAAUUGGCUGUGAAAAUAGGCAUAUUUCUCUAGGAUGCUAACAAAUGUGGAUUUCACUCUAUAAAAGCAAGAUAAUAAUUGUCAGUUCUUCCUCCUCGGUACAGCCUACAUUAGGACAGCUGGGAAUACACAUAGCUCAUGUUACAUAGCAAAGAUUUGUUCUAGCUACAAAGAAACCAGAGUUAAUUAAUAUGAGAAAUUUGUUUUGUGUCCAGGGUAAAAAAGGCUGUGCAGGUUGGUGUUGUCAGCAAAAGCUGCUUGUCACUUUGACCUGCUCUGUUAAGUGUUUGAUGUGUUUUCUCAGAGUAAUCUGUGAAUAACAUUACACCCAACCAGCAGAGAAGCAGAGGGAGCGAUAGCAGAAUUAAUAUCUGGAAGCGUUGAUAAUUAUAUAUCAGAAUCUAAUUUUUAGCACAGAAAAUGUGUUAAUGACAGAGAAGAAAACAAAAACCACUAGCUUCUCCCAGCAGGAUCCAAAGUGUCAUUUAUUAUUUCUCAGCUGGAUAUCUAUCAAGUUUAUGGGUUAAUUUUUCUGUAGACUGUUAUUUAUGGGUUUUUGUUUGUUUUCAGCCAUCAUUACUAACAAUACGGUUAAUAGCAAUCAUUUGUUAUCCGGCACCAGCGGUGAUGCUUCAGAUGCGAGCAGUGAACUGAGAAUACUCAUUUGGUAGCUGAAUAAGGCUUUGACAGGGCCCAUUUAUAACAAGCUCAUUCCAUAAUGUCCAGCCUAUUAAUAAAAUUUUGUUGCUGUCUAAUUAGAGAUGUCUGAUGUGUAUAGUAGCACAGCAAAGAAGACUUUCUUCUGCUGCUUUUCAGUUCUACUGUACCAUACAUUUGUGAGACCAGUGGUUCAGGAGUGAAACUGGGGUGUUCUGGGGCUCUGUCUCCCCUUGGGAGUGCAGUGAAAUGCAGGUUGUACGGCAGGAAGGCCCAGGCUGCAUGUACAUGCUUGUUGAGGGGAGGUCUUCAUUUUCAUUAGCUCAGAUCACCCUCAAGUCUCUCUUUUUUCUUCUUAUGUUUGUUUUCUUUUAUUGGCUUAAUGUUCAAGUUUUAGCUUAAAAUAACCAAUAAACUUAGAGUAAAACAUAUCUGUGAUAUCGUAAUUGAACGUAUACAUGUAGACAGAAUGUGAUUCUUGGGUGUGUCAGUAUAUCUUUGAGAAAAGAACAGUUUGAUCCCUGAGGGAAGGGGUGUGAUGAGAGAAAAAAAGCCUGGGCCUGAUCAUUAGAUUUAUUUUUUUCUUCCUUCUAUGUCUUUGAGGAGUGAGGAACCAGCAGGACUUGCUGAACUCAGCAGUAAGGGGAUAGUUAGUAGCAUUACCGGGACUGAAAUUAGAGGCUUUUGUUGUCCAGCAAGUCCCAGAAUAUUAGAAGUACUUUGUACAGCCCUUAGAACAAUCCUGGAUUCUUUAUGAUGGGAUCUUUCAUCCAAACCUAUAAAAAUAUUUUUUAGAAACUGAUAAAUAGUGUUUUCAUUAAGUUCUUGUGGGUGAGCAGUUUGUAAACUGAAGCUUAAUUAGGCAAAAAUAUUUAUACCAGGACAUAGAAGUUGUUUGUGGGAAGGUUUAGUUCCUUAGUGAGUGAUUUCAUGCAAGUGAUUUCUGUUCCUGAAAUGACCUGUCAGAAACAUUCUUGUUCCAUUUUGUUUUUACAGGUAGAGUCAAGUAUAUGAUAAUGAUGAAAGUGAGUUAAUUUCCAUUUCAUAAACGGCUUUUGCUCAUGUAACUGCUGAUUUGGUGAUAAGAUAGACCCUUCCACCCUACUUCAACUUUGCAGUGCACAAAUGCAAUAUUUGAACAACUUUUGUCAUUUGUAGCUAAUGCUGAGUUGAUUAUAUUACUUUUUAUUUUUUUUUUUUUAAGAAGCGGCACCAUGUGUUUGCAAGUACCUAGCUUCUAAUUAAAAGAAAAAUAUUAAUAGUAGUUAUUUUAUACUUAGACUAUUACACUGCUGAACUGAGGAAAAGGAACGAGAAAAACACAGUGAUUUAAUAUAAUUUCAUUGCUAGGUAACAAUUUGUUUCUUUAGUCAUCUUUUAUGUUUUUCCAGUUGAAAUUUAAAUCUUUGUAAAUUACCUUUUGAAUGAAGCCACAUCUGGUUUUGGUGUGUUAUUUUCCCAGAAUGUUGCUUCUAAGACAGCAUAUUUUAUGCAAGAAAAUUAUAUGAGAUUUUAACUUAAAGUUACCAUGAAGCUGCUGCAUGGAUUUCAGCUGGUAAAGAAUCUCUAUAUACUGGUGAGGUGUUUUUUUUUUCCUCCUAAACUGCUCUUGACGUAGAGCUUAUCAACCCUUAAUUAGUGAUACAUUUUCUCCUUGUGAUUUCUAUUGAUGUUUUGUAGAGCUGAAGAUGAAUUGAGCCUCAACCUGACCAGCGGACGAAUUGUUUUAGAAAAUUCAGCAAACAUCUCUCUCUCUCCCCUUCUCUGUCUGUCUCCUUCUCUGUUCCUCCCGAUAGGAAAGGUGAAAAGCUGCACGAUAGAAAUCAGGUUCAGUAUUAGUGGUUUUGCUUGCCUGUGCAAUAGAAAGCGACAAGCGGCAGGGCCUCAGUCAGCAGAUCAGGGAGACGCAGAUGGGAGGCGAAAAGCUCCCUGGUGGCAGCAGCCUGGCUUGGAUGUGAUUGUGAGAGCCAGGAUGAAGUCAGCACUGACAAAGUGUGUGGAUUGAUGGAUGGACAAAGCUGGGAACUGGAUGUGAGAAUGGAUGAGGGCAGAGGGGGAAUUUAACACAGACAAACAGAAUGAAAGACAGAGAGGAAUUGCCUGCUAAAGUAUUCCAGCACUCAGAGCCCACAGCAAUUUACUUACUGCUAACCGAACACAGGAGGAUUCUUUGCAUCUUUGCAGAUUUUCUUAAAAUAUAUGAAGAAACCAAGCAGAGAAGGAGCUUACAAAUUCCUCUUAGUGUCUUUUAUUGCCAUCUCAUCCUCCUUUUCUCAAGAUUCACUCACACUCAGUUAAUUCAAACUGAGUACUUGAUUAUUUUCAAUAAGUUCACACAGUAUGCAAGAGAAAAAUAAAUUUUCUUUCCACAGAUGUUAUUUUAAUGUUUCCACUAAAUUUACUUUAAUCAGUUAUUGUUGCUUUUUCUAUCGUGAAUAAAAAUAUUUUUUCUCUUACAAACUGUUAGAGGCAGGCAUUUGGAUACUGCAUUCAGAUGCAUGGUAAUAAUAAGCCCAUUAUGUGCAUUUUAUUUUACUGAAGAAAAAGCCGAUGUUUUCCCACUGAUGUAGCUUCUUGGUACCACAGUAUUAUUGUCUGCUUUUUAAGGGAAACAGACCUGUAGCUUUUGACUACUACCAGAUUUUAUUUACAUGAGAGGAUCACAGGAUUUCUUUCUUUUUGGUUAUUCAUCUGCUUAUAUAGAAACAGAAAAAUAGGAGUUACCCUACUAAAGCAAAUUGGUAGGUCUUAAUUUUAUCCACUGCUUUAGUUUUAGAAAUCAAAUAUUUCAGUGCAGAAUGCAAAUAGAAAUGAAGGUUUAUAUACAGCAUACUGGGCAAAAUCUCUUCUGGCAGCAUGGGGUGGUUGUGUUGGCAUCCCUUGGAUUCACACAGACACUUUGAAGAACAUGGGUUGGCCCAAGCUGUUACUUCUCCUUCCACUCAGCAGAUUAUGAAGACCCAAAACACACAGUGCUAACAAGACAUUUCCAUCUAGUGCCCUGAUGUGCUUUCAGCUGGAGAAAACUGCAAGUCAUCAGACUAAAGAGAAACUGUUCCUCAAUUGUUAGCUUCAGUAGUAUGUGGGAAACAGCUAUUUACAUAGUAAUAUAAUGAGCUUAAUUGAAUUUUAAGAAAGGCAGUUUAUUCUUAUGCAUGUCAAUAAAUAAAUUGCUAUGAAGAUAAUUACAGUGUAGUGUUUUUACUGAUGAGCUUUCCAGAGUGUCCAUGAAACACAGGCUUCUUUAAACUAGAGAACUUGUCUUGAUUAAUAGAGUCUCUGCACAUUUCCAGGGAAUUAUUUUGGUCUUGAAAAGAUGCAUAGAAAUUAUGUGGGAAAAAGUGAUGUUGUUCACAUUGUACAAUGUAUUUGCUAAUCUGUUUUUGAAGCCUGGUCAUGUACAUGGGUUUCAGGAUGUGGACACUGAAUGCAUUCAGAGUGUCUCUGGAAGGUAUGGGAAUUGCUGGUGUGAGCUGUUUCUGUCCUCUGCUGCUCUACUCUGUGGUCUCUCCUUGAGGACGGGGGACAGUCAGGUAGAAUAAUUCUGGUCACUCUAAUGGAAGAUAAUGUUCUAUAGCCCUUAUGCAGUGUAUACUUGAUACUUUCAAGAUACUUCCUAUCUUGAAGGAAAGGAAUAAUUUGUCUUUUAGAGCUUUUUGGUUAGGAAGAGUAUGAUGAUGAAAUAUGACAAAUAUGGGUGUUGUUUUUAGUGUGAGUAGUACCUGGUUUCUUAGGGUAUAAGAAGUUUUGAUUUAGAUUACAUAUUUUGCAUUCCUUUGUUUUUAAAAGUAAUUUAGCUAACAUCAGGAGGUGAUUUGCUGCGUGCUCUGUUCUUGCAAAGAGGUAAGAACUCUUUGAGCUGCAGAAAGUUACCCUAGGAAAAGGCAUUUAAUCUUGAAAUGGAUCAGCAAAACUGCUGAGCUGUAAUUUCUCCACUUGUAAUCUUCCAUUUUCCUAAUUUUUAAAAAUUGAGAAUAAAAGUAAAAAUGAAGAUAGUGUAGCUUCAUUUCACAUGUCCUGACUGUUUGAGUAUGUGGUUUAUUUAUUUAUAAAAAUAUUUUAGCUAUAAAUUAGAACAGUACGAUCCUUGCUACUCUGAAUAAGUUCAUUUUGGGAGUGUUGUGUCAAAUAUUACUGUACAUGCAACAUAUUCAGCCCUGAUAUAAGCCACUUAUGCGUUGUCAGGAGCAGUCCCUGGGGUCUAUAUAUGAGAACAGUAAGUAAUUUCCUAGUUUACAUUUCUGAUAAAUGUGUAAAUAAAAAGUGCUGUCAUUCAUUUACAUAGGUAAGUGUGAUUAGAGACCUGUCCUCAUUUUAACUGUGUUUUUGAGGGUCUACUUGAGUUAUUUCAUUGAGUUGAAUUUUUUUAUGAUGGCUCUUUAAUGUGGAUUGAAGAGUCAGUAAUUUCAGUGUGGAAUGUGGAUGCAUAUACCAUAUCUGAUGUUUGCAGCAAAUUUUUGGCACCUUGCACAUUUUUCUGUAUUUGUCUAUUUCUUUGUUAUUUUUCUGUACUUCUGUAUUUCUACAAAUACAGGAAUAUGAUUUUUUCAUUUGGCUAGAGCUACUGGUGCGAAGUACUACAUAGAGUUUUGUAUGCCCUGCACUCACUCAAAUCUCCUGUCAUCUUUUUUUUGUAGUCAUUUUGCAUUAACUGCUAAAGCUAAACUAAUUAACUAAAGAGAUACCAAGAAAAAUGUCCAUUUCUUUUAUAAAAAUAGGUAAUUUGACAGCUUGAGAAUAAGUACUAAAAUGCUUUGUUCAUAUUACAGAAAGAUCUUAAGUACAUCUUAAUAAGCUUUUCUUAGUUAAAUCAUUUUAGUCCUGGAAAAUUGGUGUAGUGGUGUGCUGUGGUCAUUCAUAGGCAAUGUGAAAAGACGGCUUUAUUUGUUCUUCUGUACUGUCUCAGAAUUUCCGUGCCAGGCACUAAAGUACACAGGUGAAUUGGGCAUCUUCAAAAUAGACUUGUGGAUGGAAGUGAAAGACUCUUGGCGUUUGCCUUUUUGACAAAUCUGUAGCUAUUUUGGAGGUAACUCAUUAAUUCUUCACCGUGGUAGUUCCUGAUUUACAAUAAUGAAAUACCACUUUUCUUUCUAAGGAGGAAUUUACACAUGGCCAAAUCCCUUGGCUUUGUUAACAUGCUGCAAAUCAUCCCUUGUAGUUAAUGGGUUACUUUCAGACCUGAGUUUCUGGGUGUGCACUCAUUAAUAAUUGUUACAUAUAUGAAUUCACAGAGACUUUGCUUUGUUAGUGUAGCUGAAGUGGCAUUUAUGCCCCAGGUUUGAAAUUUCAAUUAAAGUAUAAGAAAGGAAGGGAAGAAAAAAAAAGGCAUGCUAGUACUUGACUUGUGUAGCAGUGAUAAUUUACAUGUUAUAUGUUGGAAAUUUUUGUCAUCUUGUUGGUUUAAAAAAAAAUCAUCAGGCACUGCAAAUGAGUAGAGACGAAUUACUCCCUUUUUACUGAAAUUUUUGCAUUUAUUAUUUAUCCAGUCUGAUGGCCUCUUAUGCUUACCUUAAUUUUUAUAAACAGUAGUGUCAGUAACAUAUUUCCUCCACGUAUGAAGAAAGCAGAAGUGUUUAUAAUAAAUCUUAGUGUGGUAUGUAGCUAUCAUUUCCUUCAUUUGACCUUGGUGGAGCAGGCUGAUGGGGCAGUGAAAAGUAUGAUAUGAAAAAUGAGUGAACAGAGCGAGGUGAGCAGUGAAUCAGUCUUGUGUGUGAUUAGCUGUGAAAAUCUCACAAAUAUGACUCUGAGUCACUUUUCUUCUUUCUUCCUUGCCUGUUUCUCUCUAAGGUGUUUCUUUUCUGUGUGUAUUAGUCAUUUAGAAGUUAACUAACAGAACAGAGGCUCUGUUUUAAUACUGGUUGUGGGUUAGUGGUUUUAGGUGAUGAGGAGAAUGGUAAGUGCAGCAUGUCUGAGGAUUGCCUAUAGAAAAAUCACGGUCCAUUUAAAUUUGUAUAGAUCUGUUGCUAAACAGUAGUAGUAGUCAUUGCAUCUCGUUUAGGGAUGUGGAUGUGACACUGAUUUCAACCUGGCACUGUAAAUCUGCAAUUAUAACUGUAGCUUCAGUGACUCAUCAUUGAGAUCUUAUUUGGCCAUGUCAAAUACUGUAAAAACAGAAGUCCAUUACAAUUAAAGAAAUCUCAUUUGAGGUAUGCAUAUAGGCUAUGCAAGUCUUUAGCUUGCUAGAAUACAUUUUUAGUUUGUUGUUUUCAUGUUGUUUUUUCUGGGUAGUGUGUUUAAAAUCCAGCAGUGUAAGUGCUCAUUAUUAGUUUUCUACACUAGAAUAAAGAUGAAUUUAAAUUCAGGAGUCAUCUUGUCCAUGCAGAA